UACGUAGGGUGCAAGCGUUAUCCGGAAUUAUUGGGCGUAAAGAGCUCGUAGGCGGUUUGUCACGUCUGCUGUGAAAACUGGAGGCUCAACCUCCAGCCUGCAGUGGGGUACGGGCAGACUAGAGUGGCGGUAGGGGAGACUGGAAUUCCUGGUGUAGCGGUGAAAUGCGCAGAUAUCAGGAGGAACACCGGUGGCGAAGGCGGGUCUCUGGGCCGAUACUGACGCUGGAGGGAGCGAAAAGCCGUGGGGGAGCGAACAGG
rnacentral:rRNA from 1 species